rnacentral:snRNA from 1 species
GUUCUUGCUUUGACAGCACAUAUACAGAGAAGAUGAGCAUGGCCUCUGAGCAAGGAUGAUAUGCAAAUUUGUGGGAAAAAAAAAAAAGAUUA